AUACGUAGGGGGCGAGCGUUGUCCGGAAUGAUUGGGCGUAAAGGGCGCGUAGGCGGCCCGGUAAGUCUGGAGUGAAAGUCCUGUUUUUAAGAUGAGAAUUGCUUUGGAUACUGUCGGGCUUGAGUGCAGGAGAGGUAAGUGGAAUUCCCAGUGUAGCGGUGAAAUGCGUAGAGAUUGGGAGGAACACCAGUGGCGAAGGCGACUUACUGGACUGUAACUGACGCUGAGGCGCGAAAGUGUGGGGAGCAAACAGGAUUAGAUACCCUGGUAGUCCACACUGUAAACGAUGAAUGCUAGGUGUAGGGGGUAUCGACCCCUUCUGUGCCGCAGUCAACACAAUAAGCAUUCCGCCUGGGGAGUACGGCCGCAAGGUUGAAACUCAAAGGAAUUGACGGGG
rnacentral:rRNA from 1 species